rnacentral:rRNA from 1 species
AUUGAACGCUGGCGGCAGGCUUAACACAUGCAAGUCGAGCGGUAACAGAGAGAAGCUUGCUUCUCUGCUGACGAGCGGCGGACGGGUGAGUAAUGCCUAGGAAUCUGCCUAGUAGUGGGGGAUAACUUGCCGAAAGGUAAGCUAAUACCGCAUACGUCCUACGGGAGAAAGGAGGGGACCUUCGGGCCUUUCGCUAUUAGAUGAGCCUGGGUCGGAUUAGUUAGUUGGGGAGGUAAUGGCUCACCAAGACCGCGAUCCGUAACUGGUCUGAGAGGAUGGUCAGUCACACUGGAACUGAGACACGGUCCAGGCUCCUACGGGAGGCAGCAGUGGGGGAUAUUGGACAAUGGGGGGAACCCUGAUCCAGCCAUGCCGCGUGUGUGAAGAAGGUCUUAGGAUUGUAAAGCACUUUAAGUUGGGAGGAAGAGCAGUUAACUAAUAUUUGACUGUUUUGACGUUACCGACAGAAUAAGCACCGGCUAACUUCGUGCCAGCCGCCGCAGUAA